UGUUUGAUGUUCUAACGUGGACCCGUAAUCCGGGUUGCGGACAGUGUCUGGUGGGUAGUUUGACUGGGGCGGUCUCCUCCUAAAGAGUAACGGAGGAGCACGAAGGUUGGCUAAUCCUGGUCGGACAUCAGGAGGUUAGUGCAAUGGCAUAAGCCAGCUUGACUGCGAGCGUGACGGCGCGAGCAGGUGCGAAAGCAGGUCAUAGUGAUCCGGUGGUUCUGAAUGGAAGGGCCAUCGCUCAACGGAUAAAAGGUACUCCGGGGAUAACAGGCUGAUACCGCCCAAGAGUUCAUAUCGACGGCGGUGUUUGGCACCUCGAUGUCGGCUCAUCACAUCCUGGGGCUGAAGUAGGUCCCAAGGGUAUGGCUGUUCGCCAUUUAAAGUGGUACGCGAGCUGGGUUUAGAACGUCGUGAGACAGUUCGGUCCCUAUCUGCCGUGGGCGCUGGAGAACUGAGGGGGGCUGCUCCUAGUACGAGAGGACCGGAGUGGACGCAUCACUGGUGUUCGGGUUGUCAUGCCAAUGGCACUGCCCGGUAGCUAAAUGCGGAAGAGAUAAGUGCUGAAAGCAUCUAAGCACGAAACUUGCCCCGAG
rnacentral:rRNA from 1 species